UACGGAGGGUGCAAGCGUUAAUCGGAAUUACUGGGCGUAAAGCGUGCGCAGGCGGUUUGUUAAGUCUGCUGUGAAAUCCCCGAGCUCAACUUGGGAAUUGCAGUGGAUACUGGCAAGCUGGAGUACGGUAGAGGAAGGUGGAAUUCCCGGUGUAGCAGUGAAAUGCGUAGAUAUCGAGAGGAACACCAGUGGCGAAGGCGAGUCCCUGGACAACUUCUGACGCUGAGGCACGAAAGCUAGGGGAGCAAACAGG
rnacentral:rRNA from 1 species